UGGCCCAUGUGGCAAGAGAGCUGGUUGGU
rnacentral:piRNA from 2 species